rnacentral:rRNA from 1 species
UACAGAGGUCCCGAGCGUUGUUCGGAUUCAUUGGGCGUAAAGGGUGCGUAGGCGGCGGGGAAAGUCUGAUGUGAAAUCCUGGGGCUCAACCCUGGAACUGCAUUGGAUACUUCCUUGCUAGAGUACUGGAGAGGAAACUGGAAUUUACGGUGUAGCAGUGAAAUGCGUAGAGAUCGUAAGGAAGACCAGUGGCGAAGGCGAGUUUCUGGACAGUUACUGACGUGAGGCACGAAGGCCAGGGGAGCAAACGGG